UUAAGGCAGCAAGCUGACUUGUCUGGGGUCUGUCAUUAACAAGAGCUGGGCCAUGGCUGCAGGCUUGGCAGAAGCCAUGUGAGAGGAGACUGGGCUCUGGGCCUUCCCACCAAGCGCAUCCCAGGCCAGAGGCAUCUCCCAGAGAAAACAGUCACAUUGGCACUGUGGCUUUGGAUCCAGACUGUUGUGGCUUUGAUGACCACAAUAUUGUUUCUGGGAUGUGGAGAUAAGGAUCAGAACGCUGCACUCUGUACCUCACUGAGAAUGCCUGUGACCACUGGCUGGAUAGGGGACACCUUCAUAUUUAACAG
rnacentral:lncRNA from 1 species